rnacentral:rRNA from 1 species
CAGUCGCCACGGUAAUACGGAGGGUGCAAGCGUUAUCCGGAUUUAUUGGGUUUAAAGGGUCCGUAGGCGGACUUAUAAGUCAGUGGUGAAAGCCUGUCGCUUAACGAUAGAACUGCCAUUGAUACUGUAAGUCUUGAGUAUAUUUGAGGUAGCUGGAAUAAGUAGUGUAGCGGUGAAAUGCAUAGAUAUUACUUAGAACACCAAUUGCGAAGGCAGGUUACCAAGAUAUAACUGACGCUGAGGGACGAAAGCGUGGGUAGCGAACAGGAUUAGAUACCCCAGUAGUCCCUGUCUCUUAUAA